UAUUUUUAUUGAGGCUAAUAUAUUAUCCUUUGGUGCCAUGAGUGGAUGAAGAAACUUUCAGAAGGCUAAACGAGUGGAUACAAGAAACUUAGGCAAAUUAUUACACCACAGGGGUGUGAGAAGUAAUGAAUAUUAUCUACUAGGUUUCAGCAAACAUAAUCCAAGCUGAUCAAUUUAGGACACUUCCACUGAAGAGACGUGAAGUGUACGUUCAACUGAAGUGUCAUUGUAAUUGUGUGCCUUCUCAGUUAUUGGGCACGUUAAAGAGCAUGAUGAAUGUUUGUACUAUAAUGGUGUAAAUCCUUUUGAUUUCUUGCAUGAAAGACAUGUGGCAUCAUGUAGAACCUGCUUUGACAUUGAUUCUCAAUUGUAUGAGUUGCUCCUCUGAUUUUAGAUCACAUUUGUCCUCAUCACUUGGCAUAUCCACAUUGAUAUUGACAUGGUUUUAUUUUAGUUUUAGACAUAUGACAAAUCAUGCCAUGUUUGAAAUUGUAAGUAUAUUUUGUGAAGCCUGUAUUCACCUUUUUCAGUGUAUUUCUGUCAUAUUCCAGUCCCGAGUCACAAAGUAGAAAACAUCAAAGCCUAUACUAAUACAGGCAGGAAGAUACAUCUUGAUGCCAACAGUGCAGGAAUGUAUGGAUAACUUUAUCAUAUUUACAUAUGAGUGAUUAUGUAUCCCUUUUGCUUUUCAGUGUCUUCUCAGAAACAACCAGCCUUGAAGGCUACAAGUGACAAGAAAGAUUCUGUUUCGAAUAUACCCACAGAAAUGAUGGACAACAAUCUGGAACAGUGUCUUCUCAGAAACAACCAGCCUGGAAGGCUACAAGUGUCAAGAAAGAUUCUGUUUCUAAUAUAGCCACAGAAAUAAAGGAUGGACAAAUACGUGGGACAGUGUCUUCUCAGAGACGACCAGCCUUGAAGACUACAGGUGAUGAGAAAGAUUCUGUUUCGAAUAUAGCCAGAGAAAUAAAGGAUGGAGAAAAAUCUGGGACAGAACAAGACUUAGAAAUGGCAUCAGAGGGAGAGCAAAAGAGGCUUGAAGAAUAUGAAAAUAACCAGCCACAGGUGAAAAACCAAAUACAUUCUAGGGAUGACCUUGAUGACAUAAUUCAGUCACCUCAAACAGUCUCAGAGGAUGGUGACUCGCUUUGCUGUAACUGUAAGAAUGUCAUAUUACUCAUUGAUCAACAUGAAAUGAAGUGUAAAGAUUGUGUUCACCUAUUGAAAAUUAAAAAUACAUUUUGUUUAUGUAAAAGAUUAAUAGAACUUAAAGAUAAUCACUGUGAGCAACUUAGAGUAAAAAUUCGAAAACUGAAAAAUAAGGCUAGUGUACUACAAAAGAGACUAUCUGAAAAAGAAGAAAUAAAAUCGCAGUUAAAGCAUGAAAUACUUGAAUUGGAAAAAGAACUCUGUAGUUUGAGAUUUGCCAUACAGCAAGAAAAAAAGAAAAGAAGAAAUGUUGAAGAGUUGCACCAAAAAGUUAGGGAAAAGUUAAGAAUAACAGAAGAGCAAUAUAGGAUAGAAGCUGAUGUGACAAAACCAAUUGAACCGGCUCUCAAAUCAGCGGAGGUGGAAUUGAAGACAGGAGGAAAUAAUUCAAAUCAGGUUUCUGAAACUGAUGAAAAAGAAGACCUGCUGCAUGAAAACCGCUUGAUGCAAGAUGAAAUUGCCAGGCUCAGGCUUGAAAAAGACACAAUAAAAAACCAAAACCUGGAAAAGAAAUACUUAAAAGACUUUGAAAUUGUGAAAAGAAAGCAUGAAGACCUUCAAAAGGCUCUAAAACGGAAUGGGGAAACAUUAGCAAAAACGAUAGCCUGUUAUAGUGGACAGCUUGCUGCUCUGACAGAUGAAAACACAACGCUCCAUUCCAAACUGGAGAAGCAAAAAGAGAGCAGGCAAAGACUGGAAACAGAAAUGCAAUCAUACCAUUGUAGACUGAAUGCUGCUCGAUGUGAUCAUGAUCCAAGUCACUCAUCAAAAAGAGACCAAGAGCUUGCUUUCCAGGGCACAGUAGAUAAAUGUUGUCAUUUACAGGAAAAUUUGAAUUCUCAGUUCUGAUUCUUUCUCUGCAACUUUCUAAAGCUGAGAGUAAGUCCAGAGUCCUCAAAACUGAGCUCCAUUACACAGGAGAGGCUCUGAAAGAAAAGGCUUUGGUUUUUGAACACGUGCAAAGUGAGCUAAAGCAAAAACAGAGUCAAAUGAAGGACAUUGAAAAAAUGUACAAAAGUGGAUACAAUACAAUGGAAAAAUGCAUAGAAAAACAGGAAAGAUUUUGUCAACUAAAAAAACAAAAUAUGUUGCUUCAACAGCAACUGGAUGAUGCUCACAACAAAGCUGACAAUCAAGAAAAAGCAAUACUUAAUAUUCAAGCCAGAUGUGAUGCUAGAGUACAAAACCUUCAAGCUGAGUGCAGAAAGCACCGUCUUUUACUAGAAGAAGACAAUAUAAUGUUGGUCAAUGAACUGAAUCAUUCGAAAGAAAAAGAAUGCCAAUAUGAAAAAGAGAAAGCAGAAAGAGAAGUAGCUGUGAGACAGCUUCAACAAAAACGAGAUGAUGUCUUAAACAAAGAAUCAGCAACAAAAGCUUUGCUGGAUGCUUCAUCGCGUCACUGCACCUAUUUAGAAAAUGGGAUGCAGGAUUCAAGGAAGAAAUUAGACCAGAUGAGAAGUCAAGUAUGUAUGCAACUUUGCACACCAACAACUGUUAAUCUGUAGCUAGUUAACUAAUAUAAAGUGUUUUGGGGUACUAAUUUUAGUGGAUGGCUUUCUUUUGUAUUUUUAUGAUAAUUAAUGUUAUUAAAAUUUUAUAGUGGAUGGCUUUCUUCUGUAUUUUCCUUAUUAUUAAUUUUAUUAAGAUUUUAUUAUAAUGCACCUAUAUCUUAAUCUCUGGCUUUCAUUCUGCCAUUUUUUAUACAUAUAUUUUUUUCUUAAAUAUUUAACCUUAGGAAAGUUGAGAAUUAUGCAUCAUUUCUCACAGAAGUUGAGAGAGUUUUUUUUUUUCCUGUUAAACAGUCUAUUUUUAAUGAUUUCUCUAUUGGCAUGGUGAGGCAAGCCAGAUUAAUUCAGAGGAUAAUGUCUAAUGGAAUGUUUCAGAAAAUUAUCUUCUUUUUAGUCUCUACUUUUCUGAAUGUAUAAAGAACCUGUGUAUACUUAUUUCUUAGAUUUCAGGUUAACUUGUUCAGAAAGGCCAUUUUACUGAAUAAAUUUUUAUUUCAAUGAAAAUCCUUACUUCCUUUGUAUUGGGCUCAGAGAGCACACUCUGUCUCUAUAUGAAUAUGGACAGUUCGCAUUUGCCAACAUGUAUCUAUUUUCUCUUAUUUGUAGAAAAAGCUAAACUAAAAAGGGGGUUAUAGAAGGUCAGCAAAGGAUGGGUUUGAGAUGUUUGGGUUGGUUAAGUGGGCAUUUAGACAACCGGGCUUCUCCUUUGGCAUGUUUAAUGGACAUCUUUGCAGUUCAAGAUGACGCUUUUAAAUUACUUCUCUCCUAAUGAUGACCUGAGUCCUGCUAUUCAAUGGGAGAGUCAAUAAGAUCCUGUAGGAUCUUAUUUGGAACUGACUUUGUCGAUUUUAAUUUUGUUCCUGCUUGUUUUUAAAUUUUCUUGUUGUUUCCCUAGAAAGGAAAGAUGAUGCUUAGUUUUAAGUAUUUAAAAAUGUGCAAGUUGCUUUGCUAUAAUAAAACUAAAUGCAUACAUACAAAAAAUAAAAUUAUAGUUGAUGUGGUAGUGUUUGGAAUUCAAAAUAUAAAUGCUUAGCAUGAGGUAAUCCUUUAUCUUUCCACAUUUUACCAGUUUGUAAGUUUGAGUAUUUAACUGAUAAAAUGUAAUUCAAAAGCAAGAAGAAUGUUGUGUUUUAGUCCUAGAGCAGGGGUCUGUGAACUUUUCUGUAAAGGGCCAGAUAGUAUUAUGUAAGGCUUUGUGAGCCGUAAGAUCCUUGUUGCAAUAACUCGGCCCUGCAGUUACAGCACAAAAGUAGCCAUGAACAAUAUGCAGACUGAAGGGGUGUAGCAGUGUCCCACUAAAAUUACUUACAAAAAACAGGUAAUGGGAUGAUUUCUCCUAGAUUAUGACCUUUUAUAAAUAAAAAAGAUUGUGAUAGUCU
rnacentral:sRNA from 1 species